GACAUGGAAACGAAAUAUUUCAAAAUGGACGACGGUGGAGAAAGUGCACGUGUGAUGUGUUAAAGAAAUUCAUAGUUUCAAUCACUUUUGCAUGUAGGAAUUUUUACAUGACUUUAAAAUAUGCUUAAACUGUUGUCUUAGAAGUUCAACGAUUGUUUAGGAAUGUUUUUUUCUUGAAGAAAAAGUUCUAUAUUUGCCGUUUGUUUCAAGAAUUCGCUUCUUUAAGAAAAUGGCGCCCAUAAAAUUUUGGUUUGCAACAGCCUAAAGUUGUCAAAUUCUUGGCAYGAUUGGAAGUUUUCUCAACUUAAGAAAGUUUGCCAUGUCUUUGUCAAAUGCGCGAAAUGMUGCAGUAAGAAGCUCGUAUAAUCGUUCAAAGAUCCCAAUGCUAAUAUGUAAGCCAGGUAACCCAAGCUCUGUUUUCAUGGCAAGCCCUUCAUCAGGAGGAAUAUCUAAAGCCAGACCAGCUUCCUUUACAAUCAGUUGUCGCUCGUCUU